rnacentral:rRNA from 1 species
AGAGUUUGAUCCUGGCUCAGGACGAACGCUGGCGGCACGCUUAACACAUGCAAGUCGAACGAGAGAAGAGGAGCUUGCUUUUCUGAUCUAGUGGCGGACGGGUGAGUAACACGUGAGCAAUCUGCCUUUCAGAGGGGGAUACCGAUUGGAAACGAUCGUUAAUACCGCAUAACAUAAUUGAACCGCAUGAUUUGAUUAUCAAAGAUUUAUCGCUGAAAGAUGAGCUCGCGUCUGAUUAGCUAGUUGGUAAGGUAACGGCUUACCAAGGCGACGAUCAGUAGCCGGACUGAGAGGUUGAUCGGCCACAUUGGGACUGAGACACGGCCCAGACUCCUACGGGAGGCAGCAGUGGGGAAUAUUGCACAAUGGAGGAAACUCUGAUGCAGCGAUGCCGCGUGAGGGAAGAAGGUUUUAGGAUUGUAAACCUCUGUCUUCAGGGACGAAAAAAGACGGUACCUGAGGAGGAAGCUCCGGCUAACUACGUGCCAGCAGCCGCGGUAAUACGUAGGGAGCGAGCGUUGUCCGGAAUUACUGGGUGUAAAGGGAGCGUAGGCGGGAUCGCAAGUCAGAUGUGAAAACUAUGGGCUUAACCCAUAAACUGCAUUUGAAACUGUGGUUCUUGAGUGAAGUAGAGGUAAGCGGAAUUCCUAGUGUAGCGGUGAAAUGCGUAGAUAUUAGGAGGAACAUCAGUGGCGAAGGCGGCUUACUGGGCUUUAACUGACGCUGAGGCUCGAAAGCGUGGGGAGCAAACAGGAUUAGAUACCCUGGUAGUCCACGCCGUAAACGAUGAUUACUAGGUGUGGGGGGACUGACCCCUUCCGUGCCGCAGCAAACGCAAUAAGUAAUCCACCUGGGGAGUACGACCGCAAGGUUGAAACUCAAAGGAAUUGACGGGGGCCCGCACAAGCAGUGGAGUAUGUGGAUUAAUUCGAAGCAACGCGAAGAACCUUACCAGGUCUUGACAUCGUAUGCAUAGCUCAGAGAUGAGUGAAAUCUCUUCGGAGACAUAUAGACAGGUGGUGCAUGGUUGUCGUCAGCUCGUGUCGUGAGAUGUUGGGUUAAGUCCCGCAACGAGCGCAACCCUUACUGUUAGUUGCUACGCAAGAGCACUCUAGCAGGACUGCCGUUGACAAAACGGAGGAAGGUGGGGAUGACGUCAAUCAUCAUGCCCCUUAUGACCUGGGCCUCACACGUACUACAAUGGCUGUCAACAGAGGGAAGCAAAGCCGCGAGGUGGAGCGAACCCCUAAAAGCAGUCUUAGUUCGGAUUGUAGGCUGCAACCCGCCUACAUGAAGUCGGAAUUGCUAGUAAUCGCAGAUCAGCAUGCUGCGGUGAAUACGUUCCCGGGCCUUGUACACACCGCCCGUCACGCCAUGGGAGUCGGUAACACCCGAAGCCUGUAGUCUAACCGCAAGGAGGACGCAGUCGAAGGUGGGAUUGAUGACUGGGGUGAAGUCGUAACAAGGUA